rnacentral:rRNA from 1 species
AGCUGAGUUUGAUCCUGGCUCAGGACGAACGCUUGCGGCGUGCCUAAGAAAUGCAAGUCGAACGGGGACUUCGGUCCUAGUGGCGAACGGUCGCGUAACACGUAAGCAACCUGCCCUGAAGUGGGGGACAACAUCCCGAAAGGGGUGCUAAUACCGCAUGUGGUCACGAGUCGGCAUCGGCUUGUGUCUAAAGAUUUAUCGCUUCAGGGUGGCUUGCGGCCUAUCAGGUAGUUGGUGGGGUAAUGGCCUACCAAGCCGACGACGGGUAGCUGGUCUGAGAGGACGAUCAGCCGGAUUGGGACUGAGAUACGGCCCAGACUCCGUACGGGGGGUCAGCAAUUAGGAAUCUUGCGCAAUGGGGGAAACCCUGACGCAGCGACGUCGCGUGAAGGAUGAACGG